CAAGCAUAUUUUAUUUUUUUUAAAAAAGGAGAAAAUAUAUUCUGAAUGUUAGAAAAGAAGAGGAAGGAGAAUUCUCAUUACUAUUCCCAAAACUUAUAAAUAAUCCAUCCUACAUCAGUAGAAGAAAAAUUGAUGAUAAAUAUUAGGGAACAGGAUGUAACUAUCCAUCGCCUUUCAAGGGCCAGAAGAAUGGUGGAAUGCACCUUUGGUAUAUUGGCAACUAAAUGGUGUAUUCUUAAUCGAGGGAUACUAAUAUCACCAAUAGCGAAACAAUUAUAAAAACUUAUGCACUAUUACACAAUUUGGUUAUUAAUAAAGAAAACAUAGAUCUCCACCCAAGAAUACUCAAGAUCAUAAACAAAAUAAUUAUUUAUGGAAUCCUCAAUCUAUAAAAAACCCC